GCCCCUGUGGUGCAAUGGUUAGAGCACUGGACUAGCACCCAGGAGACCAGGGUUCAAAUCCCUACUUGAGCCA